rnacentral:piRNA from 1 species
UAGCUCAGCAUUGGUUCAGGUCCUCUU